GUCGGAGGUGUAUCAUGCUAUAAUGAGUGUCGAGUGAAACUCGUGAAAGUGUUUUGCACUUGUUUUGGUCAUUGUGGUUCUUGAAAGAAUAUUUCUUUUCUUUUCUUCCCCUUCUUGGUGUGCCAAACUGUUGCAAUUGAUCUUCGGUGAGAUAAUCGGUAGAGAGCCGAGUUGUUGCGUCUUGGUGUUGAACUACAGGAAACCUGCAAAAUAAGUCCACUUGCCGAAAGUUGUCCGGUCUAAUGCUUAAGUUAGCUAGAGAAAGGGAACAACCUUAGAGAGAGAGAGCCAAAAGUGAGAGCAAAAGCUUAUAAUAAGAAAACUUACCAGGUCUUCC
rnacentral:lncRNA from 1 species